rnacentral:rRNA from 1 species
UACGGGGGGGGCAAGCGUUGUUCGGAAUUACUGGGCGUAAAGGGCUCGUAGGCGGCCAACUAAGUCGGACGUGAAAUCCCCAGGCUUAACCUGGGAACUGCGUGUGAUACUGGAUGGCUUGAAUUCGGGAGAGGGAUGCAGAAUUCCAGGUGUAGCGGUGAAAUGCGUAGAUAUCUGGAGGAAUACCGGUGGCGAAGGCGGCAUCCUGGACCGACAUUGACGCUGAUGAGCGAAAGCUAGGGGAGCAAACGGG